AGGUGCGAUCAUACCAGCACUAAUGCACCGGAUCCCAUCAGAACUCCGCAGUUAAGCGUGCUUGGGCGAGAGUAGUACUAGGAUGGGUGACCUCCUGGGCAGUCCUCGUGUUGCACCAU
rfam:Eutrema salsugineum unplaced genomic scaffold scaffold_21, whole genome shotgun sequence.